CCUACGGGUGGCAGCAGUGGGGAAUAUUGCACAAUGGGGGAAACCCUGAUGCAGCGACGCCGCGUGAGUGAAGAAGUAUUUCGGUAUUUUAAACUCUAUCUGCAGGGGAGAAAAUGACGGUACCUGAUUAAGAACCCCCGGCUAAAUACGUGCCAGCAGCCGCGGUAAUACGUCGGGGGCCAGCGUUAUCCGGAUUUACUGGGGGUAAAGCGAGCGUAGACGGCAGCACAAGUCUGGAGUGAACUGCCCGGGCUUAACCCCCGAACUGCUUUGGAAACUGUGCAGCUAGAGUGCAGGAGAGGUAAGUGGAAUUCGCAGUGUAGCGGUGAAAUGCGUAGAUAUUAGGAGGAACACCAGUGGCGAAGGCGGCUUACUGGACUGUAACUGACGUUGAGGCUCGAAAGCGUGGGGAGCGAACAGGAUUAGAUACCCGUGUAGUC
rnacentral:rRNA from 1 species